CCUCGUCGCCGUCCUCCAUGUUGAAGAUGGGGACGGUGGACUCGGUCCUCUUGAGGGCCCUCUUCUUGUCAAUGUACUUCUUGUUGGCCUUCUUCUUCCUCGAGCCGCAGCAGCUCUUGACGAUGAUGUUCGGCUCCAGGUCGGCCUCCGUCAGGACGGGAUCGUAGCCGUAGAGGGCCUGUCUGUUGAAGCAGCAACCCGUGCCCACGUACACGGGGCCCUGGACCCCGUCCAAGCCCUUCAAGUUG
rnacentral:lncRNA from 1 species